rnacentral:lncRNA from 1 species
AAAAAACAAUGUAAUAUUUUAAAACACUGCACAUUUUACAGUGCAGGGGAUGGUAACUUGCUCUUAUAGCCCACAAAAUGUUAGCUAGGCAAACAUCCAUUUUAACAGAACAGAGCCCUGGUGGGCAAGACUUCACACUGAUGGUAAGCUGGGAUUGGGGGACACGCCCAUUAGAGAGUUCAGUCACACUCCUCAACAACUUGGAAUAAACUUUCAAAUACUACACCACCAAAGAGUUCCCCUCAACUCAACCUGUCGUUUGAAUUGGAAAAUAAACUCACACAAUUUAACUGUUUCUCACAUUUUUGAUUAACUCCAGAUUUUUGAAAUUUGCUGUUUAUAUAUAUAUAUAUAUAUAUAUAUAUAUAUAUAUAUAUAUAUAUAUAUAUAUAUAAUGAAAAAAAUUAAAAGAAUACCAAAUGAUAAAAUACCAGUCAAUUAUACAACACAGGUAAAUGAAAAAGAAAGAAGGUGGAACAAGUUGGAAAUAAGGAACAAGGACACUCCCUUUUGACUCACUUUGUGGUGUGGUGGUUUCGGUGGCAGAGUUACAAGUUUUGUGAUAUGGGCCAGAUGUUGAGGAUAUUCAGUAUGCCUACUGAGAUCAGCAACCAUGAUCACGCUUUUUACAAGCGUGAACAUGAACGUCUUCUUAAAGACGCUGCUGCAGUCCCAGCAGAAAAUAUAAGACCGGAUUUUGAAGGUAGGAACAGCUUUAUAAAAGCUGGUGGUCGCUAUAGACAGUACCAGUUUAUAAACACAUGUGUUCUUGACUCAUUCCUUUUUGGCCUUCACAUUUGUCACAACAAAAAUGCAAAAUUUAGAGAACUUUUUCAAACAGAUCGUACACUAAAAGCAGUCAUGAUAUUUUUAGAUGCAAAAAAGUAUAAUGAGGUCAGAUAUCUUUGGUUGAUUUUCUUAAAUUUGGAUCCAAAUUGUAGAUUCAAAAUGUCCGAAACAACUGAUUUUAGGAGUGAGGUCAAGGACCAUUUACCAGUGUUUAUAAACCUGGUAUGUUCUAAAGACCAUUUCAGUGAAGAUGAUGGGCUUCAUGGAUUGGAUGAUUGUCUUCAUCAAAGCAUCAAAAGUGCUUUUCAACCCUAUGGAAAUAUUAUGCCUUUGGGGAUGACCUAUAAAGAGCCCAGGGUUAUACUGGUGUCCAAAGAUAAUGGUCUGGACACAGCUCCCCCAAUUUAUGUCACUGACACGUAUGGAAGGACCUUUAAACUGCAGUUUCUACUUGUGAAGCAGAAAGUGCAUGAACAACACAUGGUUGUGUGCUGUAACAUGGAAGAUAGAUGGGUCCUGUAUGAUAAUAACCCUGAUGUACCUCCUGAAGAAGUCAACUACAACGAAGAUUUUAAGAAUGAUUACCCUGUCUACCUUGCCUGUUAUCUCAACGUCCCACAACCUGGUCACAGCUAUGGUAUGUUAAUUCUGUAUGUAGCUGAUGAAUGAAUGUGAUAAAUAUAUC